rnacentral:siRNA from 1 species
GAAGAAGUCAUGGAACACAAGUGA